UUUUCAGCGCAGCAAAUGUCCGCCUUCAACUGUCAUACUUGUUUACUAGCACUACGCAUAUUUAUCAACACUCAAAAAGCUUAUCAUUUGGUUUCGUUAAAUAGUACAACUAUGUUGGCAACUCUUUCCAUUUUAUAAGUUACCACUCCACUUACCGAUUCUUGUGUAAGUCACGCUUCGACACACACACAGCGCUGUACUCAUCCUCCAGCAGACAAAUUUCACGCUUCUUGCAAUUUAACGGCCGGCAGAGGUCACCUAGCGGUUGGGAGAAAAUGUAAACAGAAAAGGGUGGCGUGCUGUGUCCUCCAUCUUUCAACCGCUUAAGCUAUUUUUCCCUCAGCUAUAUUCACCUGGUGGCACGUUAAAUAUCUUAAAGAGGUGUGGAAGAGACUAUCCAAUCAUUAUAAUCUAUAAAUCUUUGUUUCUCAUGCUUCUACGCCAUAAAUUAUUGCGGACUUUAUAUUCUUUAUGGCUUUAUGUUCUUCAUUGAGUAAACAUAAAUUAGGAUGGACUUUAUAAUGUUCAGCAUUUGGAUCACCAUCAUCUUGUUAUUAUCAUCAUGACUAUGCACUUGACAAUGGCAUCUACAUAAACGGAAUAGACCCGAAUUAUUAUCCGAACAAGGACUAUCAACCGUCAAAAUUAUUUGGAGAAUGUUCUCUAAAUUAUUGCUUUAUUAUUUGAUAUCAGGAUAGAUAUUUCGACUGCUUCUGGCAAGGACAGCUUAUGUAGUAUAUAAGAUGAUUCUCACAGCAAUACUGACACUUGACUAUUUUUAUACUCUCGCAACAAAGUUGCUAAAACUAAACGACUUAGGUAUAGAGUUAUAUAUAUCAAAAUGAUCAGGGUUACGAGUAAAGUCCAAAUCCGGUUGUCUGACUGUCCAACCGCCUGUCCGUCCGUGCAAGCUGUAACUUGAGCCAUAACUAAGAAAUAAAUUAACCUAUGAAAAUUGGUAUUAAGGAUCGCACUAUGAAUGGUCAUAUUUGGAUGUAAUUUUUUUGGGGAAGUGGGCGUGGCCGCUCUCGAUACUAUGUUUUUGUACAUAUCUCGUAAACUAGUAAAGCUAUAUGAAGGAAACAUUCUAGAGUCGUUUUCUUUAGGUACUACCUUACACAGUCCAAAAAUGGAGGAAAUCGGAUUACAACAACGCCCACCUCCCAUACAAAAUUUUAAAUGGGCGUGAGUCAAAAACCAUAUCUCCGAAACUACUCGACCAAUUUCAAUGAAAUUCGGUUCAUAAUAUCUUCCUAACUUCCCAAUGAUAUGUUGUAGGAAAUUGUCCAAAUCGCUUGAAAACCACGCCUUCUUUCUAUAUACCAAAACUUUGAAGUCGAGCUGAAUAGUUUACUUUACAAAAUAUAAAGUAAGCACUAGUGAAGAUAUCGGAACAGAACUUUGCAAAAAUACUGAAUUUAAAGAAUGGCAUCGCCCUUCUAAAAAUCGUCGUCGAAAUUGGUCCAUAAGUUUUCAAGACCCUAUAUAUCGAAUAUGAGGACCUCAGUGCGUCUAACAAAUUUUUUACCGGAAAUAUAGGUAAGUCUCUCAGAUAUUUUGAAGAAGCGAAUAUGUUUCAGAGCGAAUAUGUUUCUUCUAAUAAUAUAUCUCCGUGCCAAAAAUGAGUGAAAUCGCGUCAUAACUUCCCCUAUCUCUCAUAUACUUAAAUUAGGGGUUUCAAACUGUGAAUUUACUUUAUACCUUAUAUAUGCCGUAUAUGUGAGUCAAAUUGUUUGUUAUAUUAAUAAAAUUAAAUAAAUAAAUUGCAAGAGUAUAAAAUGUUCGUUGACAUCCGAACUUAGCCCCUCCUUACUUGUAUAUUUAAGAUUCGACCCGAACGAUUGAUAAGUUUGCCAAGAACCAUUCCAGAAGUAUUCAAGUCGAAUGGAAACAAAAUUGUUUGUAAAAUAAAGAGAAUAACAACUGGCAAUACGAAUAUGAAUAAGAUUUGUGAAAAUCCAGAUAUCUGGAUAUAAAUGCACUAUAUUAAACGUAUCCUCGCAUUAUCCAGAUUUUAUCGAAAUAUUUCAAUAUGGAUAGCCUUGGCUACUAACUGCAAUCACACCUAUGCCAAACACAAGCUGGGAAAUAAUUCCGAAAACAGUAUAAACACACGUUCAUGUUUUUGGUAUUGCUUUUCAAGUGGGUUUUAUUAAAAACGCUCAAUUCAAUCAAUUUGUUCAAUUAACAAUGUCAUAGUCAUAUUCUGUAUGUGUAUGCUUUAAUUUGUCAUUUUAACAAUUUCUAUUUACUUUGUUUUAUACAUUAUAUAUUUAUAUGUAUGUAUGUAUAUAUGUUUGGAUGCGCAUAUGUCUGUAUUUAAUUGUGUUAU